AGGGAUAUAACUUAGCGAUAUAGUGUUAUUUUGAUGUGGUGAAAGUUAUCAGUUCGAUUCUGAUUAUUCUUA
rnacentral:tRNA from 1 species